AGGGAAACUGUACCUUUGACAGUGCAACGGAAAUAAGGGUAGCGGUGGCGUUGUGAACUAAAGUAUCCGACCAAGGGAUGGCGCUGCAAAAACUAUCAUCAUCAUUGCGUUGAGGCAAUAUGGCUGCCGCCUUGCUGGCGGGUGCGGGUGGUCGCGGUGCGCGUGCGUUGGUUCUGGGCGUUUAUUGACUCCUGUCCGGGGGUUGUAUUCGCGCGCGCGGCAGCCUAUCGUUACUACAAAUAUUUCCGUUACGUCGCCAGGUGACCGAAAGGCCUCAACUGGCAAAAAACACGCCAAGCAAGAGUUCAAGUGAGCCUCACUACAAAAGGAAAAAAAAAGAUGAGGGCCUGCAUUAAUAUUGACGAUGUGCCACUGACAUCCACCCCAUAAAAGCGACAGCGGCAAAUCCCUCCUGAGAACAGCUAUGUCGCCUCACCUAGUUUAUCACCUGUUGGGCCAAUAUGGACACCACUGGCUCCACAUAUCAUCCAUACGAGUCAGCUUAGACCCCGGACUGGGUGAGGAUGACGGACGGUGUGGAUACGGAAGCCGCUCAGCCUUCGAGUUAUUACAUCACCUUUCAUACAUGUCUGAUGGUUCUCUUGAACCUCUGCCACACAUGCCUCUCCACUACCUGCACUGUGAAGCUUUGGCACUCCGAGACUCGCAUCGCAGCAAGAGUCGAGUGCCCUAACACACACGCGUACACAUGGUGAUGUCAACCUCUCGUUGGCGACAAGCCAAAGGGGAACAUUGACUUGGCCACAGCAUUGCUGUUUUCUGGAUCUAGUGUUGCCUCCAGCCUACGAAUGAUGCGUUUCAUGGGUCUCCCAAGUAAUCAUUGAGCAAUCCUUCUGAAGUAAGGAAGUUGUUGGGAUAGUUGCCUCAUAAAUUUAGAAGAACUUAUAAACUGUGCGAAGAAGACGACACGUUAGAAACAUAACACGCACACACUUGAACACCAGACUUUCAAGUGUGUUUAUUUCUUGAAGGUAGAACAUUUAUAAGAGUUGACAGACAGCAAUUGCACCGAUAAUCUAACAACAGGCUGCGAAAAUGUGGCAAGACCACGCGCGUGUUACAGUCCCAGAAGGGUCAUUAUGUGACCAUUUAAGAAAUUUAGUUCCUUUUUUGUCUUUUUUUUUGCCAUGAGGGAAGCCUGAAUGACCUCUGUUUCUGUUCUUGUUUUUGCCUUAGAAAGGGAUUUAGUUUUUUCCAGCUGAGGAAAACAGCUCAUGCUGUCUCAGUUCUUGCAUUGUAAGGCAAGAUUACUGCCCGAGCCAGUGCGCAUGGAUGGCUUGUGUUCCUGCGCGCGUUCAUUGAAGCAGCGGCCAGUUUGACCAAUAUACGACCGACCACAGGGCAAAGGAAUUUAAUAAAUAACAUUUGACAUGC